CUGGCCUCAGGGCAGAGCCUCACCCAGCCAGAGAGCGGGUGAGAGAGCAGGCAAGACGGUCAGCCUCUCACCAGGCUCCUGCUCAGAUACCUACCUGGGGACAGGCCACACCUUGCAUGUCGUCUUCUGCUGGGGGUCUGGACCCCAGGGAGAGCCUUGUGGUUACGAGCCCUCCCCUGAUCCCAGAGCCAGGCAAGGGAGGGUUGUCUCCGGCCUAGCAGGGACGGCAGGCCAAAGCCCCCAGUCCCAGGCUUCUCUGCUGCCUCCCUUCAUUACAGCCAGAUGUCACCAGCCCAAGAGGCAGGGGCGGGUGAGCUCCCAACAAGACCACCCUCCCCCGCAGCCUCAGUCCUCAGGGCAGUGAAGUGGGGUCAACCCACCUGUUUAUGGGACAGAGUGGAGCCCCAGGGACAUGAAGGUUCUGGCCGUGGCCCUUCCCCUCCAGGCCCCAGGCAAACACCUGCUACUGGACGCGGGGUGAAGUCCUGGCCAGGAGGGGCACAGGGUUGUGGGCUCUAGGCUGUCACCACCCCUGCCCUCUGGGGACUAAGGCAGUCCUCGCCAUGGGACAGCAAGCCUGCCAUUGUGCAAGACUAUGGAUUCCCACCAUAGCCCCGGUCAGCCCCGGUGGAGAUGGGCAGGGGUGAGGGAAAGGCCUAGGCCUUGGACUCAGAGGCCAGAGUAGGGGACAGGUCUGUACUCUGGGGACCCCUCCCCACUCCUCCCCCCUUCUAGGCUUAUGACCUUUUCAAGGAAGCAGCUCCCUUAAGCCUCGUUUUUCUCAUCUGUGAAGUGCGGCUCACAGAUUCAUGCUCUCCAUAGGGUCCCUGUGUGGUGCUGCCCAGUGCUGACAGGUGCCCAGCCACAGCCUGAGGGCUCCAUUCCCUGGUCUGGCCACGUCUCAGUGUGAAGCAGUCACCAGUGUGUGCUGGCUGCCCGGAGGUUGCACAGGGCAAGGAGGGCCCCAGUCAGGCCCCGCAGACUCCCUGGGGCCAUGAGACUAGCAUCCUCCUAGGGGAUAUGGGGCCGGGCUGGACACCCCGACCCUUCCCACUCUGGGCAUUUUUCAGUUUGCACAAGAUGGGGCCAGCUCAGGGGGAGGAGGGGCUGCAGUCCAGGCUGUGGAGAGCUUGGAAUCCCGCUGCUGGGAAGACCCUGGAGUCCCCCAGAUUCCCAGCAGGGGGCAGCACCAGCUCAGGGAGAGGCCGGGCAGAGGGCCUUCCCUGCUGGAAGGUGGGUCGGAGCCCGGUGCCUAAGGGUGCUUUGUAUCCCGCUGUGUCCACCUGGGGCAGAGCUGCCACGCAUACCCAGGACCCCAGGUGUGGCCUGCUGGAUGGUCAGGAAUCGGUUGGGCAAGGGUUGGGUGCCUGGGCCCCGCUUGAACUUGGGGACCACAGAGGUGUGUCGAUGGGAACUGCCUGGGCAGGUGAGGCAGCAGGUGUGGGUGCCGCCCAAGGAGCGGCAGGCAGGCUGGUACUCACCCAGUUCCCACCUUGACCGAGCCUUGGACGACACCCACUUCACAGAGAGGCCAAGGGCAGGACAAGGGCUGAGGGCUCAGGCUGUGUCUGGAAGUGCUUCUGUCAGGAGGCCAGAGAGGAAGGCUGGGUAGAGGACACAGAAGACCCAGGCCUGGGUGGAAGGGAGGCUGUCGCAUGAGCAAAGCCCAUUCCCAGAGUGCGCGAGAGGUUCUGGAGUGGACGGGUUCCGCAGCCAGGCCUGGGCUCUCGGGGCCUGCCCAGAGGAGUGGCCAAACCAGAGCACAUCAGGUGGGGCAGCCCCGAGGAUGAUCUGGAAGGGACACUGCACCUGGCCUCCACCAUCAGAGAGGGGGCAGCCAUGACUGAAGGGCUUCCCAAGGACGGUGACCCUCAGGGCCAGGAGCAUCUCAGGCUGACGCCUUACAGCUGGCAGAGCUGUGUCCUGGAGAUCACCAGACCUCCCUUUCCCCAGAUCUGCCUCUGAGGAAAGAGUAGAGGUUUGGAAGUUCCUGGCCCGGCUAGACUCCAGGCCUUAAAACCAGGGCUCUUCAGCGUCCUGGCCCUCUGACUCCAGCCAGGAAAGUGCUUCUGCUAUCUGACCACAGUGCUUCCUGCUGUAUACUCAGUCUUUCCCACUGUCAGCCUAGAGAAGGACCUGAGGCCUCAUCUCAUGCUGGGCUCUGUAAACAAAACAGGAAGGGGCCAGAGCCUCAGUUUCCACCCACUGAAGCACGAGUGGGUCGGAUAAGCCCUGACCGUAUCCCGACAUCAAUCUUUAUGCUUCAAAGCCCCUGGACCAUUACCGCUGACCGGAAUUGAGGGCCACCUCCAAGGCAGGACCAGCUAGGGGCCGAGGCACCACCCUACGGGAGACAGACACAAGCCAGCAAACUUCACAUGGAAGGUCUGGGACAGAGGGACACUUUCCAGAGGUGAUACCUGAGACCACAGGACAGGGACACCGAGAGGGAGUUAGAGCAGAAGGUCCCAGGCAGGGGCAGGCAGGGCUCAGAGGAGCCCUGGGCAGGAGUGGGCCCUGGGCCAGCACCGCAGAAGCAGGGGCUGUCAGGGCCAGGCCAAC
rnacentral:lncRNA from 1 species